UCUUCGUAUUUUGUUCUUAUACUGAACUAGACUCUAACUCCAAGUGCCUCUUAAUGGACCUUAGUCCAUUACGUGAUGGAUGCGAUGUAUUUACCCUUGCACGAACCUGCACUUCCACAAUUGUACUUGCCACCCCUAUAAAACACAUGAAAACAAAUCUUACCUUUUUAACCAUUUAUCAUAAGUUUCAAAUGUUCGAAUUAAAAUUACAUUUCGAAAAUUUAGAAAGUUUUCAAAUUUGAAAAGUUUCGAAAGUCUCCAAAUCUGAAAAAUUUUCAAAUCCGGAAAGUUUUAAAAUUUCCUAUUUUGAAAGUUUUGUAUUGUUCGAAAGUUUCGAAAAUUCUGGAAUUUUCUAUUUCGGAAGUUUCAAAAAUUCUAAAAAUUGUCAUUUCGAAACUUUCAAAUAUUCUAGAAAUUUUAUGUUUAAGAACUUUGAAAUUUUCGAGUGUCACUUACUUUUGAUUUCGAAAAUUUUAAAAGUUUCGAAGGUUAAGAUAAUUUUUCUAAAAUUUCCAAAGAGUGGUGACAAAAUGCGAAGUUAAAAAAAUAAAAAAAAAUUUAUAAAUAAUUAAAAUAAUAAAAUUAUAUUUUCACGUUAAUUGAAAGAUAACAUAUUUAGAUGUGGAGUAUGGGAUAAAAUUUUAACCAUUAAACUAUAAUUUACACUGUACAAGAUGAUAAUACGAUAUGUAACCAUCUAACUUCUAAUAUCACUCAUCUUUAAAGGAAUCCUAUAAAAGACUUAAAUUUAAAAUGUAAGAUAACUUUCAAAUGUAAGAUAUAUUUUCCUUCUUACCUUACACUUUCUCGAACUUGUAAGAAGUGUGGUCAACAACCCUACACCUCUCCAAAAAUAGUUCUUGACCAUCUCCAAGAGUCCUAACCGAAUGAGUUUUCUUCUACUUCCCUUCCCUUCCAUACUCCCAAAGAGAGCAUACGAGGGGAGAGUAUCCCUACAAACACAACCUUUUGUCUUGUAUUUAUAUAUAGUACGAUUCCCU
rnacentral:lncRNA from 1 species